UGUGGAUAUCAUGAUUUUAGCUACUCAAUUCUUGUUAAUAGGAAUUCCAUUUAUUUUCAAUACAUGGAUUGUAAGGCAUCUUACACAAGAGGACUAUGCGACAUGUGCUUGAUAAAAUUUUUGCGUGUGUUGAUUUGGUAGUAGCUGCUUAUGUUGGUGUAUAGUAGUGGUUGCAGUCAUAAAUUCUCAGAACAUGUCUCGGUUUAUGUGAUAAGAUGUCUCAUAGGAAGUUCGAUCACCCAAGACACGAUUCUCUUGGCUUUCUUCCAAGGAUGCCAGCUUCUUGUUAUCAUGGAAAAGUGAUUUGUGGAUCACUCAUGUGGACAACCCAAUGGUGUAAGAGCUCCAUUUCCUGCUAAUAAUCCACUACUAGGAUCCUUGCCAAAGGCUGGAGGGUUUCCUCCUCUUAGUGCACAUGGGGUGGGCUACUUUACUGAUUUGGUUUCGUAGGCAUUACAUAUUGUUAUCUUUUGGUUCUUAUUUUGGUGCUGGACUAUUCUGUGGUUAAUGUGUAUAGCCUUUUCAACCUACUCCAACACCUGUGCCAACACCCCUGGCUGGUUGGAUGUCAAAUCCUACCACUGUAGCACAUGUUGCAGUUUCUGGAAGAGCCACUAUAGGUCUUGGUACUGCUACAGGUCUUGGUGCACCAUCAAUCACUGCUGCUUUGAAGCACCCUAGGACCCCUCCAACUAAUCCAA